rnacentral:rRNA from 1 species
AGCGAACGCUGGCGGCAGGCUUAACACAUGCAAGUCGAGCGGGCGUAGCAAUACGUCAGCGGCAGACGGGUGAGUAACGCGUGGGAACAUACCUUUUGGUUCGGAACAACACAGGGAAACUUGUGCUAAUACCGGAUAAGCCCUUACGGGGAAAGAUUUAUCGCCGAAAGAUUGGCCCGCGUCUGAUUAGCUAGUUGGUGAGGUAACGGCUCACCAAGGCGACGAUCAGUAGCUGGCUGAGAGGAUGAUCAGCCACAUUGGGACUGAGACACGGCCCAAACUCCUACGGGAGGCAGCAGUGGGGAAUAUUGGACAAUGGGCGAAAGCCUGAUCCAGCCAUGCCGCGUGAGUGAUGAAGGCCCUAGGGUUGUAAAGCUCUUUUGUGCGGGAAGAUAAUGACGGUACCGCAA